UACGUAGGGCGCAAGCGUUGUCCGGAAUUAUUGGGCGUAAAGAGCUCGUAGGUGGCUUGUCACGUCGGGUGUGAAAGCUUGGGGCUUAACUCCAGGUCUGCAUUCGAUACGGGCUGGCUAGAGGUAGGUAGGGGAGAACGGAAUUCCUGGUGUAGCGGUGAAAUGCGCAGAUAUCGGGAGGAACACCGGUGGCGAAGGCAGAUCUCUGGGCCGUAACUGACGCUGAGGAGCGAAAGCAUGGGGAGCGAACAGG
rnacentral:rRNA from 1 species